rnacentral:rRNA from 1 species
UACGUAGGUGGCAAGCGUUGUCCGGAUUUAUUGGGCGUAAAGAGCUCGUAGGCGGUUUGGUAAGUUGGAUGUGAAAUCUCCAGGCUCAACUUGGAGGGGUCAUUCGAUACUGCCAUGACUAGAGUUCGGUAGGGGAGUGUGGAAUUCCUGGUGGAGCGGUGAAAUGCGCAGAUAUCAGGAGGAACACCCGUAGCGAAGGCGGCACUCUGGGCCGGAACUGACGCUGAGGAGCGAAAGCGUGGGGAGCGAACAGG